rnacentral:miRNA from 1 species
UGGAAGUGAGGCUGAGGGGCCAAAGCGUAUGCCAAUAUGCGUUUGCUUUGGCCCCUCGGCCUCACUUCCA